rnacentral:lncRNA from 1 species
AAGGUUGCAUGAGUCAUCACUUGUUCAUAUUCGCCGUCCCCAGAACGGCCGACAGGGAGCAACCUUGGCACGCCAUUAAAGGCGAUUUCGCAGUGAGCGAACCCAGAGGGGUUCAAAGCUCCAAUAUAAGUAUUCAAGUCGAGGUCCGGGUCUCGACUAGCAUCUAGAUCCACGGGAGGUGGCGGAGUUCUUUCAGAGCGCCGGCCCGC